UUCUUGAUUCAGUAGCAAAAUAUCAAAUAAAUUAAUAAACCAAUUUGCUGGUAAACUACGUAAACGACUGAAUUAAAGUAGAUAUGAUUCUAUUGAUCUUAAUCUUGUCUAUCUUGGAUAUUGCUGCUUCAAAUGAGAUAACUCUUCACAAAGGAAGUUUUACCUUGCAAUCUUACUCAACAAGUAACACAACGAAUAUCCAGAUUCCGUACAUGAUUUGUUUUCGUUCGUUGCCCGCAUAUGUGUAUGCAACAGUGACACCUACCGACCAAUCCCUACCCCACAACUUUACUUUAAACGUCGAAGAAAUUCGAGAAAACUCAUUCAUUGCUGAAAUGAUCAGAACAGAUGGGGUAAAUAAUUGGGAUACGCCUAUUACCGUGAAAUGGACAUUAUUUUUUGGGAAUGGCAUCGGAUACAAAAACUAAUUCAUUUGGCUUCCCACCUUCCAUGGAACGCACACGUUGGACUAUCCGGCAGCAUUAGGAGUUUGUAGAGAUUUGAAUGCAACACUGGUGGAUAUAACAGACGCGAAGAUGUACGAUUCGGUCUAUCAAUACGUUACAAGGAACUUCAUUUUUGAUAAGGGUUACGUUAACGUUUGGAUUGGAUUAGUUUACGACGCGACAAAAGGAAAAGUUUAUCAAUCCACCGGUCAAUUAGGUUACUAUGGGAGCUUUCAUCCCGGGAAUCCAGUCAACGACCUGAGCAAACGUCAUAUGGUGAUUGGUGUGCGACCCCCUGGAAGUUUAAACACCGAUCGUGGAAUGUGGAACUCACUUACAACACAUAGAGACACAUAGGCAUUAUGUCAAAUACUGAUUGAAUAAAGUAAACUAUAAAGGGUCUGACACCGUGAUACAGUAGCUCGAUGCUUCUACCAUUUCAUGCGUAAAGACAUGGUUAUUACUUCAAAUUAAUUAGAUGUUCGUGUUAAAAUGUUUUUGCUGUUCUUUGUUUCCAAGAAAUUGAAACACAUAAAAGGCUGCGUACAAAACUACCUUUAAAUUAACAGGAAGAAACAUGUAUACCAAGAAUAUACUGGUUUGCAACUGUUUUCGGGUAUAGACCUUCGUCAGCUUUUUUCGUUAUAUGUCCGUUAACGGCAUGUUUGUUACACGAUUUUUACAAACCCAUAGAAAACACAGUUGCUUUUUAAAUAUUCAAACAAGUUGUCACUGAAACACAACAACCCCUUUAUCUGUUUUGUAAAUUAAUUUGACAGAAUUUCGAUUGCUGCAAAAUACAUUAAUACAGUAUAUAUA